UACGUAGGGGGCUAGCGUUGUCCGGAAUCAUUGGGCGUAAAGAGCGUGUAGGCGGCCCGGUAAGUCCGCUGUGAAAGUCGGGGGCUCAACCCUCGGAUGCCGGUGGAUACUGUCGGGCUCGAGUACGGAAGAGGCGAGUGGAAUUCCCGGUGUAGCGGUGAAAUGCGCAGAGUAUCGGGAAGGAACACCAAUUGCGAAGGCAGCUCGCUGGGACGUUACUGACGCUGAGACGCGAAAGCGUGGGGAGCAACAGGAUUAAGAAACCCCAG
rnacentral:rRNA from 1 species